UAGUUACUCCCUCCGUUCGGAAUUACUCGUCAAAGAAAUGGAUGUAUCUAGACGUAUUUUAGUUGUAGAUAUAUCCAUUUUUGUGACAAGUAAUUCUGAACGAAGGGAGUACCUG
rnacentral:pre_miRNA from 1 species